GCUUGGCGACGACCUAGGCGUCGUUCCCGGCCCCGACUGUAACAUCCCAAAAAUUUCAAACUUUUACAUUUGCAUUGCAUCCAUGAGCAUCAUGCCACAAUUGCAUAUUUGAAUUCAAAUUUGAAUCUCAAAAGGCUUUGGAAAGAUUUUAUUUCAAUUUAAACCCUAGGGUUUACACCCAUUUGAGCUUAGGAUCUUCAAACCAAUAGGGUUUAGGUAUAAAAGGGGUUUAUUGCAUAUAUGAGCUAUCCCAUAAUUUUUAAGAUUUUAUUUGGAGUUGAAAAAGUAUUUUAUUUAAAUAGUUAUAUAACCCUAAAGGCAUUUCUAGGGCAAAUGCAUUUUUAGAUAUUUUAUUUUGAAGGGAAAUGACUCCCAAAAGUUGUAUCAUGAUAAAACAUGAUUUUACAAUUUUUCUAGAAUUUAUUUGGACCAAUUUGGAGUUCAAAAACAAAAGAUAUCAAAGAAAUAAGAAAAAAAAAAAAUGGCUAUAAAAAAAAGGGAAAACUGGACCGGCCCGGCCGUUUUGGGCCGAACCGGCCCCGCAUCGCCCGAGCCCGCCCGAAUCGGACCGACCCAACGCCGCGCGCGCGCCCGCUGCCACUGACAGGUGGGGCCCACCUGUCAGGGCGUUCUUCCCCGAAGGAAAGCCCCCGCCCCGCCGCCGUGAUUCCCGGCCGCCGUCCCCGCGCGCCAUCGCUGCUCCUCGGUAAUCCCGACCUUCCCAGAACCGCCCGAGCGCACCACUAUAAAGCCCGAGCACCCCUCUCUUCUUCCCCUCUGCUCUCCCCC
rnacentral:lncRNA from 1 species